UCAAGUGGCCAGACAGCUUCUCCUUCAGCAGCAACAACAGCAGCAAGUUAGUGGAUUAAAAUCUCCCAAGAGGAAUGACAAACAACCAGCCCUUCAGGUUCCCGUGUCAGUGGCUAUGAUGACACCUCAAGUUAUCACUCCCCAGCAAAUGCAGCAGAUCCUCCAGCAACAAGUGCUGAGCCCUCAGCAGCUCCAGGUCCUCCUCCAGCAACAGCAGGCCCUCAUGCUCCAACAGCAGCAGCUUCAAGAGUUUUAUAAAAAACAACAGGAACAGUUGCAGCUUCAACUUUUACAACAACAACAUGCUGGAAAACAGCCU